rnacentral:tRNA from 1 species
AAAAUCCGUCGACUUUUAAAAUCGUGAGGGUUCAAGUCCCUUUUGGUUCAAGUCCCUCUAUCCCCA